AUUCCAUUGUAUGUGUAUACCACAUAUUCCUUAUCAAUUCAUCCAUUGAUGGACACUGGGUUGCUUCUGCUUUUUGCCUGUUGUGAAUAUGCUGCUGUGAACAUGGAUGUACAAGUGUCUCUGAGUUCCUGCUUUCAGUUCUUUUGGGUGUGUACCCAGAAAUGGAACCACUGUAUUGUGUGGUAAUUCUGUGUGUAAUUGUUUGAGGAAGCGCCAUACUGUUUUGCUUAGCAACUACUGUUUUAAGGGGAUGUCUCAAUUACCUAACUUUUCGUAUGUAUGUCUUGCCUCUCCUCUGUGAGUUUUACAAAUGCAAUCCUCCUGCCUCUGUUCCGCUUAUGUCCUUUGAACUGGACUGGUUAAAAUUCUGGCCCUGUGGACAAGUUUGGGUUAACACCGUGGAUCGACUGGUUGGGCCAUAGUCAGCCCAGAUUCUGGAUUCAGGAACUUACCGCCAUUCUCUUCUCAACCUUACCUUUGGAAAACACAUCAGGUCCACCCAUCUGGCCGGGCAGUACCUUCUUCAAGAGAAAUGGAGCCCUCCUGCAAGUUGAACCGAAGUUACGCCUUCUGGAAUGUUGAAGACCGUGUUCAAUCUCUCUGAAGCUCCUGCUACAUUGGGACCAAUACCCAUGAGAUACUCACAGGAGGAGGAGAACUUGAGGCCUAACCAGCUGUUCUCAGUGACACUUGAGUAACUAAGAUCUUGCAGAAACGUGGCACAGAAAAAGAAGGUUCCUUGGGGACAGAGUCGAAUGACUUGUGUUCUCUAUUCCUGUUUCUUCCUCUUAGUGUCUCUGAUUGUGUCAGAGUAUGAACUGUUUGCAAAGAUUCAUUUCAGAGGUGGGCAAGAGGGAGAGAAGGAAAGAAGGAGAGACAUACUUGCAGUGAUAAAGAACUUUGAGACAUCAUUUGAAGGGUCGUGUUGAACUUGUCCCCCACCUAAUGGUCACCAUAGCACACACAAGUUGGUUACUCUUUGGACUGUGAUUUUUGCAUGGGACGUGGUCAGGAUGAUCUCAUUUUGCUUCUUUGACACAAAUCGCAGUGAGGUGUUAGAACCACAGGUCUGUGUCUGAUGACAUCUGCCUGUAGGGCGACUUUAACCCAGUGUCUUGGCUGUGGAUUCGUUUCCCACAUUUUGAGCAAGAUUGCAAGGGCGUUGUGACAAGAGAUGAGAAGCCCUGACAUGUAGAAAGGCCAAUUCUGUGUUUAUCAUUCGUGCGUACUGAAUUUCUGAGACUCUGAGAGACUUCAUUCUUUAAGUUUUGCCGUGGUUGGGAAAUGAAAUAAUUAUGAAGUUUUCACUUUUAAACUUACAUAACUGAAAGCAGGCCCCAAUUGGGUUGCUCACAGGGACAACACAGGUACUAACAGCCAUACCAGGGUCUCUAGGGCAUCUUUCUCCUCUUCUGGGACCUACAGUUUGCCAACCCGUCCACCCCACUUCCAGCGUAUAUUCCAAAUGGGAGGUUCCAACUUAUGGGAGCUCCCUGCCCUCAGUGACUGGUUGAGGGAUGGGCACGUGACCCAGUCCAGGCCAGGGUUCCGCUCUGGUACUUCUUAUCUUGCGUCUGGGAGCUCUAAAGGAUAUGCUCGCAUCACAAGGACUACCACGUGGAGUUGACCGGAGUACAAGAAAUGGCCCCAAAGCAAAGCAGCAGAGAGGAGGGGCUGUUGUACAUCUGUCCUUCCCAUGGUUGGAUUAGAUAAGCUCAUAAAUUCCCCUUCUUACCUAAAGCAGCUUGAUUUGGGCUUUUGUAUGUGCAUCCAAGAGUCCUGACUAAUAAAAAAUUUCUGAAUGAAUAGCAUCAGUUAAAUAUGUAUCACUGAUGAUUUCUGGGUGUCAGUGAAGUUCCAACCUCUCUGUUUUCCGAGGAGGCCCACUUAGUGGCUUGCCUGUCUCUUGAAAGAAUAUAAGAUGAGCUUGGAGAGCUUUUCAGAGAUGGCGACUUGACUUAAGCAAACAAAGUAGGAUCACGAUGAUCAUAAUACCUAUUCUCUCUGUCUCCCUGCUCAGCUUUGCUUCUGGUGGAAAUAGGCUCGGAGAGGCUCACGUUGAAUUGACAGAGUGGCUGCCGGCAGCCUCUUGGGCUACAAACACCAGCUUUGAAUCUGGCGUUUCCCCAGUGUUCCCAGGAAGAGCCCUGAGAUGCACUGUAAUUAGACUAGCCUGGAUCACAUGGCCGCCUGGAACCAUCACUGUAACCAGAGGAGUGGGAGGGGUGGUUUGGUUUAUGCUGGGGGUGGAAACAUCACUUCGAAGCACAUUGGGAUGGGGAGAUGGAAGGUUCUCCAGAGCAAGUUAGGGUCAGUUCCCAAAGAAGAGAAAAGGAACUAUCCAUUACAACAGCACAGCCAUUUUAGAAAACAAAGCAAUGGACACAAAAAUGUUAGGUUUCUUAGACAAGUAUACAUAACCAGUAAGUGGAAGGUCUAAGGCCAGAAUGCACAUCCUCCCAUUUGAGACCCUUCCAGCUUUCUUUUCAUGAUAGUGGCCAUUACCCAGGGUGUACAGGAGUGCCAAAGUCUCAGGGCAUAUGGUGGUGUCGGUCAAGUUAAAAAUAAUUUCCAGAGGCCCAGAAUCUUAGUUACUGAUGACAUCUGCUUUCCCUGGCAGAGUGGGGAUUGCUGAGACGAUUGCCUUCACUAGACUUGGUGACACAGGAGAGACGGAAGAUGGGAUGCUGCUGCCCUUGGCUCAGGGUUAACCUUGAGCAGCAAACCUCGGGGUCUUCGCAAACUUCCCUCAGCAGCCAGAGUCGAUCCCUGGAGUCCCAGCUUUAGAGUCCAGGAUGCUUGGAUGGUUGUGAAUGUAUUAAUCACCUAGGCUGCCAUAACAAAAUAUCACAGACUGGGGGGCUUGAACAACAGACAUUUAUUUUCUCACAGUUCUGGAGGCUGGAAGUCCAAGAUCAAGGUGUUGGCAGGGUUGAUGUUACCUGGGCUUCUCUUCUUGUCUUGCAGAUGGCUGCUUUCUCACUGUGGCCUCACAUGGCCUUUUCUCUGUGCAGGUGUUGCCUGUGGUCUCUUCCUCUUCUUAUAAGGACCCAGUCCUGUUGGAUUAGGGUCCUAUUGCAUUAGAGUCCCACCCUAUGUCCUCAUUUAACCUUAAUUACCUCUUUCAAGGCUCUAUUUCUAAAUUCAGUCAUAUUAGGGGUUUGUCAAUUUUGGGGGGGGACAGUUCAUAACAGUGAAUUACAUGCAUCCUUUUCACAUACAUUCCUUGAUUUCCUAUAGUGUGCUAGCUAGGUACCCCCGGACGUGCUGGGGAUAGAGAUAAGAAGACCACUGCCCUCAAGGAAUUUUCCAUCUAGCUGGGAGAGAGAAUCACUGAGAAGCCUUGGUGGUUCAUCCCGUCGCAAGAGGGCUCAGAUUUCAGGGGAAGGAAGUCAGGGAAGACUUCACUGAGGGGUGUUGCUUGGGCAGUGCAAGGCUGCUGUCCCUGCUUCUCCUAAAUCUGCCCCCCUGAACUACUCAACAUGGUCACCUGUGCUCUUCUCAAUCACAGUGUCGCUCCAGGCCCCAAUACAAAAGAGGCGCCAUUGUACUGCAGCCAUGGCAAAAACACUCAUUUAGCUAAGUGCACAAAAUAAUGAAGCCCACACCAAAGGCACAGGGCACAAAUAAGUGCACAGACAGUACGUCGGUAUGUGAUGUGUGUGUGUUUGAAAGCAAAGGAGAAAUAUGAGGAGCCAGGAUGGAGAUGGGAAAAGUCACCAUGUCCUUUUUAGGUAACUUACUUUAUCCCUUAUAGGAAAGAAGAUGAGAAGGUGAAAGGUAAGUGUCCCAGGCAGAAUUGUGGGGAGCUUCUGAUUAAGGUGGUGGAGAGUGGGUUUGACUCUGAGGAGACAAGGGUGGCUGGAUGGUGGGGACUUGGGGCAGAUGGUGCAUUUUCAGUCCUACCUUGAAAUUAGGCAUAGAAAGAAGGGUAAAGAACUAAGAGCUGAUGUUCAUAAACAUGGGAAACUGGUGCAGGAUGCACGCUGUGUCACGUGAUCACAGUGGAAUGUGGUCACGGUAACUUGAAUUGCAGCGGUCAUACCUGGGGCUCAAGUGGAAGGAGAUGUGAGCAGCUGUAUGGACCAGGCCAGAGGAGAGCAGCAGACCAAGAAGUAGUUUGGGUGGAAGUAAAAUGGGGCUGGGGCGACUGGACAGAUGAGAGAGGUAUUCAAGCCUCAGAUCACCUUUAGUCUAGGGUGCCUUUGUGUUUCUGUCAUUACCCAGUCUACUUGGGAAAAAUAAUAAUAAUCACAUCUUAAAUCAGCAUAAUUUGAAGAGUAAUUGAAUAAUGAAAAUCCAGUUCAGAGCCAAAGAUGUAGCCUCUUGAAUCUCACUUGCUAGUUCCCAACUUAAUUUUUAAAAUUAAGACACCUCUAAUGAGACUCAGAAUGGUUCACAAUCCAGGAUGUAGUGAGGGGAAGAUAAGAUGCUAAAUGAGAAAAUGGGUUUCAUUUCAAAAACUGUCAUACUCUGUGUGUGUGUGUGUGUGUGUGUUGGGGGCUAGGCGGUGGGAUAGUUCUUCUCUAUAUAAGGCCAUUUAACUAUAAAUGGCAUUUGUUGGACGUGUGAGUCAGUGAAUUGGGAGGAAAAUGGGACUGCCUAAAAUAGCUUUUGUGCUACAGAACUGUUUGGCAUUGGAGAGACCUAGCUUUGAGUCCUGACUCUGACAAUCCCUCAUAAUCUCUUUCUCUGUCUAAUACACACACACACACACACUCAUUUACACA